AACGCUGGCGGCGUGGAUUAGGCAUGCAAGUCGAGCGGGAUCGCGGGUUCAAUUCUUCGGAAAAGAUUCCCGUGGUGAGAGCGGCGAACGGGUGAGUAAUGCGCAGACAACUUGCCCCCCGGACUGGGAUAGCCCCUCGAAAGAGGGAUUAAUACCGGAUAUGGUCGUCCCGCACAAGCGGGAUUAUCCAAAGGUGCCUUCUUCGGAAGGUGUCACCAGGGGAUGGGUUUGCGUUCUAUCAGCUUGUUGGUGGGGUAACGGCUCACCAAGGCAAUGACGGAUAGCUGGUCUGAGAGGAUGGUCAGCCACACUGGGACUGAGACACUGCCCAGACUCCUACGGGAGGCUGCAGUCGAGAAUCAUUCGCAAUGCGCGCAAGCGUGACGAUGCGACGCCGCGUGGAGGAUGACGGCCUUCGGGUUGUAAACUCCUGUCAUGAGGGAACAAAGCUUGCGGGUUAAUACCCCGGGAGUGUGAUGGUACCUCAAGAGGAAGUCACGGCUAACUCUGUGCCAGCAGCCGCGGUAAUACAGAGGUGGCAAGCGUUGUCCGGAUUUACUGGGCGUAAAGGGUGCGUAGGCGGUACGGUAUGUCGGAUGUGAAAUCUCGCAGCUCAACUGUGAAACGUCAUUCGAAACUGCCGAACUAGAGUACUGGAGAGGAGAGCGGAAUUCUUGGAGUAGCGGUGAAAUGCGUAGAUAUCAAGAAGAACACCGGUGGCGAAGGCGGCUCUCUGGACAGUUACUGACGCUGAGGUACGAAAGCCAGGGGAGCGAAGAGGAUUAGAUACCCUCGUAGUCCUGGCAGUAAACGAUGUGCACUUGGUGUGGGGAGGAGUUAUCCCCUUUCCGUACCGGAGUUAACGCGUUAAGUGCACCGCCUGGGGAGUACGGCCGCAAGGCUAAAACUCAAAGGAAUUGACGGGGGCCCGCACAAGCGGUGGAGCAUGUGGCUUAAUUCGAUGCAACGCGAAGAACCUUACCUGGGUUUGACAUGCCCGUCGUAUUCUCCUGAAAGGGAGAAGUCAAUUCGGCUGGACGGUGCACAGGUGCUGCAUGGCUGUCGUCAGCUCGUGCCGUGAGGUGUUGGGUUAAGUCCCGCAACGAGCGCAACCCUUGUGUUUAGUUGCCACUCCCGAUUCUGUCGGGAAGCACUCUAGACAGACUGCCCGUGACAAG
rnacentral:rRNA from 1 species